GAUGAAGAACGCAGCGAAAUGCGAUAAGUAGUGUGAAUUGCAGAAUUCAGUGAAUCAUCGAAUCUUUGAACGCACAUUGCGCCCGCCAGUAUUCUGGCGGGCAUGCCCGUUCGAGCGUCAUUACAACCCUCAGGCCCCCGGGCCUGGCGUUGGGGAUCGGCGGAAGCCCCCUGCGGGCACAACGCCGUCCCCCAAAUACAGUGGCGGUCCCGCCGCAGCUUCCAUUGCGUAGUAGCUAACACCUCGCAACUGGAGAGCGGCGCGGCCACGCCGUAAAACACCCAACUUCUGAAUGUUGACCUCGAAUCAGGUAGGAAUACCCGCUGAACUUAAGCAUAUCAAUAAGCGGAGGA
rnacentral:misc_RNA from 1 species